CCCCAAUCCACGCAUUUCAUUUUCUCCUCUCCUUUCUAUUAAAAUUUUCAAAUUCCUAGGCCCUUUUCACCGCCUCCUCCUCCCCCCCCCCCCCCCCCUCUUUAUUUUCAAACUUCCAUUUCUCCCUAUCAUCUUGGUUUCGGUAAUGGGUGGCGUGGGGCUAUUGGGGGACUUGGCUAUGGUGAUGCAUGGAGCUUAGUUGCAGUGAUGACGGUGGUAUUAUGGGUUUUUCAUAUUUUGCCUGGUAAAUCAUUAUUUUACCUGUUACCCAAUCUGGGUUUCUUCAUAUAUUGGUGUUUUCUAUUUUUGUGGUUUUUUUUUAAAUAUAUUUUUUGUGUGAAAAGUUCUAUAUUUUGGAUUGGUAUGGUGUAGUUUUCAAGUAAUGGCUGCGUUUUUAAUAACUAAUAGUGAUUUGUUGUUCUCAUCCAAAUCAACCAGUUAUUGUCAUGCGAUUUAUUUUAUUUUUCAUUUUUUCAGUGGGAGUAAGCUAUAUCUCUCUGUGACAGGGUGGUGCCAUGCGUGCCUUGAAUAAUAUACUAACAAAAUGGGUUCCAGUUGCAGAGAUAAAUAGAUCAUUGGCAUUAGUUUAUACUGAUGUUAUGAUUUACAUUUUCCCAUAAUAAUUAAACUCAAUAAUUUACACCAACUAGUUAACUAUUGACAUGAUGGAAUCAGCAUAUUAAACUAUCAACCAUUCUGAAUUUGGGCUUUUUUCAGCUUUAUGCAAACAUCCAUCACAUUCAUUUUGUGUUUGUGAGUAAUUACAUAACCACAUGAAGUCAUGUUCAUGGUACAUGUCAUUUCUAUAGGAGCAACUUGAAUUGCAUUUAUAUCAUUGUUCCAUUUCAAAGGGAGUUGUUUUAUAUAAUUAAAAGUUAGAAAAUGCAUUGUUGUUUAUUAAUUAUCAUUAUCUUAUUCAGGAUUAAACCACCAUGAAUUACUUCGUAAGAUGCAAGAUUGCAGGCGUGAAGAAGAGAUCAAGGGCAUUGAGUUCAAGAAGUUAGUAUUGGAUUUUUAAUGAAAGCGAAAUUAAUGUAAUUUUGUGUAACUUUGAACGGUGAAUUUAUGAAAUGAAAAUGUUUGCAAUUUCGUAUUUAUUUACCGGUGUAUGAAAAUAUGUUAAUGUGAUAAUUAGUGGCUUCUUUUUUGUAAUUCAAAUUUUCAAUGGA
rnacentral:lncRNA from 1 species